rnacentral:rRNA from 1 species
UACGGGGGGGGGUAAGCGUUGUUCGGAAUUACUGGGCGUAAAGGGCUCGUAGGCGGCCAACUAAGUCGGACGUGAAAUCCCUCAGCUUAACUGGGGAACUGCGUCCGAUACUGGAUGGCUUGGAUUCGGGAGAGGAAUGCGGAAUUCCAGGUGUAGCGGUGAAAUGCGUAGAUAUCUGGAGGAACACCGGUGGCGAAGGCGGCAUUCUGGACCGACAUUGACGCUGAGGAGCGAAAGCCAGGGGAGCAAACGGG